rnacentral:rRNA from 1 species
ACGCUCGACACCUACGGGAGCAGCAGUGGGGAAUAUUGCACAAUGGGGGAAACCCUGAUGCAGCGACGCCGCGUGGAGGAAGAAGGUCUUCGGAUUGUAAACUCCUGUUGUUGGGGAAAAAGAGGAUGGUACCCAACAAGGAAGUGACGGCUAACUACGUGCCANCAGCCGCGGUAAUCUGAGCGGGCUGGCAAGGC